rnacentral:lncRNA from 1 species
AAGAAAUCCUCUGUGUGUUCUCCUUCAUCAUAAAGGCUGGUGAGAAUGAGAAGCCUAACUCAUCAUUAAUCCACAGGCAAAGUACUAUUCAAGCAGCUGUAGUGAAAGCUCUCGUACGCUGCCCUGGAAAUAACCCCAGCCUUGACGUGGUAAAAUGACCCUAGUCCAGGUGUCAGUGACACAACACCGCCACCAUGCAGCGAGUGGACAGAUAUCUGAAAAUGUGCUAGCCCUUCCGAGUUCCAGCAGCCCUUCCAGAGCUGCAUGCAAUACUGCAUUCACUCCAGGACACAAAAUGAGCUUUUAUAAUAGAAUCAAGGGCAUGGAAAUAACAAAAACUGCAGACAGAAUCGACUUGCAGUGUUCAGUAAGGCUCUUCUGCUGUGAGAAAAAUGGAGACUUCAUAGAAACUGUGUCCCCGAGCCCUUUGAAUCAGGUAAUGUCACAUCUAACUUGCAAUACUGAGUGUUAGCUCCCAUAAAUAUUGUUCCUGCUAUUUAAAUACUGCUGCAUUCUUCACUGUACAGAACCCGGCCCCGUGCAAAACCUUUUAGACUUCAGCAUUUCUUUGCUUCAGGGCCUAACCUCAAGUUCAUAAAAUAUUUGUAGCUGUCAGCCUAGCGCAUCCACAGAAACUGCACAGAUGCAGAAAGCCUAUCUGAUGUAGUGUUAGUAAGAAUAAUUUUAGAAUUGCAAAUAUUUAGCAGGUUUUUAACAGAUACAUAUAUAUACACUUACAUAUGUAAGUGCAUAUAUUAUAUGGCAUAUAUAUUAGGCAAAGUAUACAUGAGAAAAUCCAUGAUUGCUUUGAUGAUGGCACAUCCAAACUGGGCUGUUAGCAAUGAAAAAUGUCUUUAACAUACCAAGACAGUACUUGAACAUUCAGUUUGUGAUGCUCGUUCUUGUUUCAUAUUGAAGGUAGCUGAUGAGACAUGUCAUUUUAACACCUUAUUACUGCUCUGUUAUAAUUCUGCCAAGCCUUGAUUCUUUGCUUUCAAAAGCUACAGAAUAGAAUAUCUGCCCUGGCCUCCAGAUCUGUCUUUUGUAUGUUUUUAGCUAAUUGGAAAAGUGAAGCCACCUAGGAACUAACACAGCUUUAUUGGAAGACUGUGGUUAUGAUCACAAAAUGCAUGAGGUUUGGUUCUUGGUAUGCGUUGUGUUGCUGUGUUCUGCACUUGGCUACUUGCUGUGCUACUCAGCAGUGCCCAUCCAAUGCCUGGAGGACAGGGGGAAAUGAGGAAGAGCCUGGCUUGGAACUUGGGAGUGCUAUAUUAAUAUUAAAUGUGAGAAAGAGAGACCAAGUCAUGAAUUGUGCCUGUAGUUAGCUUGUGUGAAGCACUGCCUAAGUGCAGAAUACUGUUGGUCCUUCGUUUCACUGCAGAAAACAAAUUCUGGUGUUCAAAUUCUAGAUAAACCCUCAAGGAAAUCAACACUAUGGUUCUCAGGAUUUGAAUAAUGUACAAUAAAUAAGGCCUGAGGUCACA